CAAUUUAUUUAUUUCCAUUGGGCUAAUCCCUUCUUCGGAGCACAGCUCCUUUUCAAGUGGCUGCUGCGUUGCGUUGCUGUUUUCCCCCACCCCUUCAGUGCGACUGCCUCAGAGCUGGUGGAGAGACAGAAAGUACGCACGCACCUGGAUAAAUUCGUAGACGUGGAAUUCAUGGAUCAAAUGGUACUUGCAGAGUUAAAGCUGUCUGGAUUCAGUUCCUGGAAUUUUCUAGAAUGGUAUAACAGGAAAAUGUAAGAAAUGUAUGAGGAGCAGAAAUAAACGUGUUUGCCAGGCUGUUGCUGACAGUAGUCUGAUCUAGAGAUUGAGGAUUUUAAGGGAGACUUACCUGGAGAAAAGACUCGCGCCAGCAGUGUACAACUCACCCUUUAGUGCCCACACUGGUCAAAUAAUAUAAACAUGCAUUUGCACCUCCAGCCACAGACCUGGUACACAGACUUUCCCUAAACCACACAGACACACCUCAAGGCGUGGCCAUAAGCGUCCCAGCAAGAGACUUGCCCCAUAGUACGAGGACACGUCCCACAUCACUAGAUUCUUCCCGAGGCACACAGUUUUGCUUCAACACAGAGACCCACCUAAGGGGCACUGAACUUCCCCACAGGACAGAAAUGCCCUGCACAGACAAUCCCAGCAUCACAGAUUGUCUUCAUAUCAGUCAGGCUCUUCCUAGGACACGAAGACGUACAAAUGCAUGACGUAGAACACAAUCUUUCCACAGCCUGCAGAUACUCCCCAUAGCACAAAAAUAUUGCCACAGAACACAGACUGUCUGCAGCACAAAGACUCUCUAGAGCACACAGGCCUGUUCACAGAUCACAGACUCAUGACACAGCUCGAAGAGCCACGCCAUGACACAAGGGCUCUGUUGCAACAGACAGACUCACCACGUGGUGAAAGACGCUGACCACCCCACCAGGACACAGGCUCACUUGCGCUACACAGCCACCCUCCGUGUCGUGUACACCAUGCAGAGUCUCCCCAGGAAACACAGGCUGAAGCCACAGUACACAGUCCCCACACACUCAGAGUUUAGUCCACUGCACAGGGACGCAGGUGUGCGUCCUGCAGCACGCACAUAGCGCGAUGCACAGGAUUGCGUUGCAGCCCACAGAUGGCCCUCCGGUACACUAGCUCACUCCACAGCAAACACAAUGACCAUGUAAUGAAAACACUUCACAGGCCUUCUUAUCGCAUAACAUCUACCCCCCCCCAAAUUCACCCUCACAACGCACACCGCGACCCGUUGUCACCAGAACACAGCCGUAAUAAAUGGACAUGCACCACCGUGCAGAGCACAACACUGCAGCAUGCACACGGGCCACUACCACGGACAAACAUGUUCCGCCACAGAUGUGUAUGCUGCAGGAGCAUCUCACAGUCCACCUUUCCCUCGCUCCUCCUGUGGCAUCCACACAGCUUCCACCGUGGGAAUCAUCCUGACACACGACACCCCAGCCGCACAGUGCUCAGAAUGAUGGAACGGCAUGCGCCUGCUGUCCAACUUUGUUUCCUCAAACCCACACUGCUUACACAGUGUGAACACAUGCUCCCCAACACCUACAACCAUUUGCCAUGUGCUGCUCAAAUUUACCAGAAAGCACCUGCACUGUUUUCACUGCUUGCACUUCUGCCCAGAGUGCAAGCUGUGUGCAGAACUGCACCAAAAUGCAGCUGCUCCCAGUGAUAUACCUACUUUGCUCACAACUCACAAGUACACUGUUGCACACAAAGAUGCACCCUACAUGUGCAGGACACGCACUCAUACCACAGCAGUUAGACUUGCCCUAAAGUCACACUCACAAUACUUAGACAUGCCUUAAAGUUCACAAGCAUGCCUUUGAACACAGAGAUUGAUUGCACAAGUUACAGAAUUGCCUCACAACACAGUCCUAGUCUAGAGCACAAAACCUACAAUGUACAUAAACAUUUCCCACUGUGUAGAUCGCAGGACAUAUUACCCUCCUUUGCAAAGAUUUCCGUUUGAGCACACAGACAUGCAUUACCAUACUGUUGAGCUACAAGUCUGGCAUACAGCAGAGAUACGGCUUUUGCAAUGGUUUAGAGCAAGGCCUCUGGACCCAGACCACCUGGGUUUGAAUCCAGAUACCGUCCCUUGCUAAAUGUAUCACCAUGGAAUGUGAAAAGAGGACCCACAUACUCACACAGAGCUGGUGAAUGCUGCUCUUGAGUGUCAUCCAGCGCAGGCUAGUGAAAUCAUAGCAGUGUGUCCUCAUCCACCUUACUCACCGGAUCUGCCCCCAGAUCAGAAUGAUCAUGAAAGGCAAAUGUGUUGAAUUGAUUCAGGAUAUUGAAGCAGCCACACUAGUGCAACUAAAGACAUGAAAGAGAACUUCCAGAACUGCUUCAUAAAGUGGAAAGAAUGGAGGAGCUCGAAGAUAAAGAAUAUGGAGUAGGAGGAAGAGGGCUUCGCGCCCAGUGCGCAUUGCCAUCUAGUGACCAUGUUGACGGAGACUUCCAGCUGCCUAGCAGCUCGGCUUGACGAGGAUGAGUGACGACCUACAGCAGAAGUGGAGCCUGAGGAUAAGGAUGAUGCAUGGUGGUAUUUGUGGUUCUGACCCUGGCCUGGUAGCCUGAGCUUGAGCCCCGAUCCCUUCACAACUGCAAGUGAUUCUCCUGCAGCAUUUGAGCUUAGCCAUUUUACACCUUUGAGAGAUUGGGAACGAUAUGCAAGUUCACGGCACCAUCGUGUUGUCUUGCUGACUCUGGCAUGCAACAAGGCCAGCAUCUGAGUUAUUUGCUUCCCCUUUGUCCUUAUGCCUGUUGUCCCCACUGCAGCCAUUUAUCAUGUGCAUGUGUCCUUGUACCAAAACUGUCUAGCCCUUCUUAUUUGUCUUGUGAAUUUAUCAUUUGGUUAUUAAGUACUAUAAAUUAAUAUUGUAAACUGCAUAAUGAUGUGAAACUUGAACUGUAAAUUUGCAUAAAUUAGGGUAAGAAUUGGCUCCAAGCAAAAGACAAAGAAGGUAGAUGCUAGAAAAAGGAGUGAAGAGUUUGAGAAAAGUAAUGUUGACAGCAAAUAAAAUGAGAGGUUUGAAAUGCUUGGUAAUGGUGAAAAAUCAAGACCUCCCAAGGGCAUUUUUGGGGCAUUAAUGAAAGUCCAAUUUGUACAAAAGAGAAAAAUGAGAAAUCAGUUAGGGCCAAUACACUGACGGGUACAUCAGAAUCUCUAGGAAAAUUAUACAUAAUUCGAAAUGCUAAAAUACAGAGACAACAGAAAUACAUUUACUUUCAUGGCUUCCAAAACAAAGAAGAUUGAAUAGGCCACUUUCCAUAUAUAUUAUCCGCCAGUGAGCAUCACAAAAAUGCAAGUUUAACUUUCUGUCUGGAACAAAAGUUACACCAUCCAUAGCUGUCAGAGGAAGCAGAUCAUACUGAGAAUAUCUGAAGAGACCGAUCAAAGAAAUGUUUUCCCUGAACAUGUUUUCAGGGCUGAUGGAAUGCUGUGUUCUGGAAGUGCAUGCCAACCUGCACAUCCAUUGCAAAGGAUGACAAAAGGACCAGGAAUUUGAACCCUGGAAAAGACAUGCUCAGAGGACUGCUUCAUUCCAUUGCUGCUUCUGACUUCCUUAGUAAUCACAGGUUGCUCACAAAUUCCAAGGUCCUUACCCUCUGAAUGCCAGAAACAUCUUUCUGCCUAAUGAAUGGAAACCAUAAAAUCUGACCCACUGAAAAACUCUUUUAGAACUGGAUUUUGAAGAAUUUUACUCCUGAGGCUAAAGAAUAUUUUGACAGAAAAAAAUCUUGAAAGUGUUCCUGAAUCUGCACACUGCUCCCACUAAUGAAAGUAUGAGAGUAAAUGCUGAUCCUUGUGUUCUAGUCAACUCCAUUCCCCCUGUAGAAGUUCACUCCUCAAAUCUCUGCCUCUGAUACAGCCCAAAAUGUUCAUGAUGCGCUGUACUCUGAUAGUAGUUUGGCAAAAUUUCUCCAUUUGUAAUGAUUUGACAGUAGGUGAGGAAUCCAUGAGAAAAUAAGUCAGUCAACCCUGAACGGAAUCUGGCAGAAACUUUGAAAUAAGGUGUUAGCUGAUUUUCAAGGUCUCUUUCCAGUAGUGGAAGAAAUUGAAAAUUUUGUAAUAUCUGCAAAACACUUAGUUGUGGGAGGGUUUAAUGAGAUUAAGUGACAUUGCCAAACUGUUAGACUCUCACCCUAUUAAAAGAGCUGAGAAAUAUUUCAGAAAUGUGAUCACAUAAAAUGUUGAUAAAAGAGGCCACAGUAGGUUAACAUCCAAAGCUCAAAGCAAAUCAAAUUGUGAUGAUUCAGAGGAAACAGAUCUUUGAUGGAAUGUAUAUUGAUCUCGGGCAAGGCUUCAAUGAUUAUCCACAAUUCUAUAAAGAGUAGUAAGAAAUCUUCAGACAGAGGUCAGUAAGUCUUCUCUCUCUGCUUAUUUAACAGGGGAGAAGGAUCUGGACUAUCUGCCAUGCCAUCCAAACCUAUAGUUCAAACAACGCUGCAAGCAUAGUUGAAUCUUGGGAUUCAGACUCUGAUGGCUGUAAUGGCGUGGUGAUCCAUUUGCUGGAGUAUGAAAGUGGACAAGAAGACUGAGCUUACUUCUUUUCAGACAAAAUCUGAUUUUCUCUAUUCUUCCCCUAUCACUGCUGUCAUAACUGCCAUUUUUAUUUGUACAUCAUCAUCCUAACCUUGAGAUCAGAGAGAACUAGAAAGCAAUUACCCAAUAAUCACUACGGCUAAUGCAAAAUUUGUAAAGUGUUGAGAUUUACUUUAAUGUUUUAUUUCAGCGGGCAGCCCAGUUGUCUGGGCUUUCACAAUAUUUCCUUCUCUGCCCCAUUUUUUUCCCUAAAAGGUCUCAAAUUCGUCCAACGUACAAACUAUGGAUGUUUCAGGAACUCAGCUCUAGAAUCUAAGGAAAGGGCUACUGUACGGAAUUUGACAAUUUGAUUUCUUACUUUUGACCCUAAUGUUUAUUUUAAUUCUGGUGAAGCUUAACCAUUUUAUUAGAAGGGACUAGUUUAGUAUAAGUUAAUUUGUUUUACAGCUAUGUAUAAGUUGCCUAUUGAACGGUCCUGAAAGACAGUACAUUUAUGAUGAAUUCCUGAAUUUUCAUUGGUGCAUUGUCAAAACGGAAGAGCUGCCAUGAAAAUUAUAGAUCCCCUCUGUUCUCAGAACUGUCCCCAUAUCUACUGAUACAUCUGAUCAUAUAUCUCCUCACUGCUGAUACUUCUUGUUCUCUGAUGGUGGUGGAGAAUUCAUUUCCAGAUUGAGUUAUUUUCUUCCCUCCUCAAUCCAGUAUAUUUAUUUUACAGAUUCGAUUGUUUUUCAAGUGUUAUUAUUUUAGUUUUAGUUUUAGAUAUUUGUAAUUUUCCAAGCAGACUCCACAGAGUGGACAAAUCAUCACAAAUCCAGAAUUAUGCAGCUGAUACCUUACUCUAAGAAUUCUUGGCAAACACAAAUGAUGAACUCUCCAGUUCCUUCGACUGUUCCAUACAUUCUUACAUGAUGUUCAAUUUAAACUCAGAUGGAUAGUUAUUCUGGAUAAUAGAGACACAUAAAGUCUGAAUAAUAUUGUUGUUUCUUCUGUUUUAACUGCUACUCGGGCCAUGAUUAUAGCACUGACACCAUAAUUACAUCUCAUAAUGAUGCACGAGAAAAUCAAAAGCAGGAAUGACAAGUCUGGCAUGAAUUUCCAGAAAGAGACAUUACUUAGCUUGAAAAAACAGAAUGACAGCUGAGAAUGAUGAAAUUUAUGUAUGGUCAUGAAGUAAUGCUGCCUUUGAGCAAUUAUGUCAGAAAUAACACUGGAAAUACACUGAAUAUGGUCUUGUAGGAUGCGUGGAAGAAACCUGCUUGAGUUGAAAUUAGGAAUGAGUGAAGCCAGUAAUUUUGCCCUUAAUCUGGAGGUCUGAAAGAUAGGCUACCUAUAUCUGGAUGAGAAGUGAAGAGGAAAAAAGAAAAAACAUUAAAAAGGAAAAGAAGGCUUGCUUGAAUGGUUAUAAUUAAAAUGGUGAAAGAUUUAUAUGAUCUGAAGAGAAACCAGAGUAUUUGAAUGGUUUUAAUUAAGAAGAAAGAUACCUUCCCCAAGUUCAAAAGAGGCAAGUAGGAGUUAAAAGCCUGCAGUAGGUUGCUGGGGAUCUAGUGACACCAGAGGGCCAGGUGAGGAAUUUGUGCUUUUCCUCUAAGCCACAGUUUUUCUCAACCCUGACCAUAUAUGAGGGUCAUGAUGAGAGUUUUGAAAAAUACUGGGUCCUGCUUCCACACUUGGUGAGCCACUGAUAGGACCAGCGUCUAUAUGUUUGGCAAGUCACUCAAGCAAUUAUUUGUACAAUCAUGGUGUAAACCACUUCUGUAAGACUAUAUAGAAUUAAGAUAGAUAAUAUUAGACAAAUGGCAGUAAAUUCAUGAACUAGAAAAUCUUAAACAGAGGCAUUCUACUACAAGUUCAAGGGAUAGUUUCAUUAAGUAACUUCUCUCAUUCAUUAUGUGUCAAAUGAGAAAAUAGGAUCAUUUGUUCUUCAAGGUCCUGUUUUUGAUGCUACCUUGAGAGAAAGAUGCAUCAAUUUCAUUGGUUAAUUUUGGGAGUACCUAAACCUGCUGAUAGAGACUCAGAUAAAUAGUAAUUGUAUUUCAUUAUAUGCUGUUAUUUUAAAAACUGGGCUUAUAAUUUAAGUUUUACCAUAUUUUAGUUCCUCUCAGAAAACAAAAUUAGGCUUAGAAAUUAUAAAAGAAAAGGCAGACAUAGCAUCAGCUUCCUGAAAUGAAAUACAGAAAAUACUCCCAGGCCGUGUUUUUUUUCUUCCUGUAAUAAUGGUGUUUUUCCCUCUGGGUUUGGGAAAAAUAAUGAAUAGGUAUUGUGUGUAAAAUACUUUAACAUUUUAUACCAUUGUUUCCAAUUUUCCAGAAAACUGGAAAAGUCUAUAUGUAUAAAAUUUUAUGAUUCCAUGGUUAAUCUGCUUAAUCUAGUCUAGAGGUAAAUAUUUUUUAAGUCAACAAUCUUUUUCAUUAGUAUAAUCAGUGGUUCCAUAUGCCUUCAGAGUAUGAACUUUUUGGAUAAUUGGAACAUUUUUGAGAUUACUGCCUGGGAUAGUUUUUUCUUUUAAUUUGAACAGAAUUAGGGAAAUCAAAUUGCAUCAACGAGGAACUCAGUACAAAAUAAGUACAAAAUCAAUGAUUGUAGCUUUUUAAAAAGAAUACCUAUACUUUGGCAUGAUAGGGGGAAACAUUUUUCUAGGGCCCAAGUCAUUUAAAAGAAAAACUGGAAAUCUAAUUCUUGUUUAAGACAUCUAGUUAAAAUAAUCUAAGAAGUAUUACUAAUAAAGUAAAUGAUAGGACAGUUUAAUGUGGUUAAGUUUAAUAAGUCGGUAGAACACAUAGGAGGAUGUGAAAGUUUGGAAGGAUAAAUGGUAAAAGUAGAAUUUGAUGACAACACCGCAGUAUAAAUAGCUAUUGCUCUUUAUGUGUAGAAUACCCUCCCUCCCAUUUGGAAAAUACGGAAAACGUUUAGUAGGUUUGAGUGAUGACUACCUUUUUUUGUCUAAUAAUUUGAAUAAGGCCUUGAGCUAAUAUUAAGAAGCACAAGGAAAGUUUCUUAUAGACAUAUUCAACCACUGUGGCAAAAAGGAACAAAAUAGAAAAAUGAAGGUGAGGGGAAAGGGCAACGCAGGCUGCUAAAAUGCAGAGAAUAUAUUAGAAAACUGACAUUCCUUGUAAAAGGAGACUUUUGGUUAAAAUCUUUUUAAGUUCAAAAUGCAGACAAAGCUUUUUAAAUUGCACAUUUGGCUCACGUAGCUGCCAGCACCACUUCUUAUGUUAGUAAAGGGUUUUGACCGUGUGUGGCAUCUGAAAGCUUAUGUGAAUAAUAUUUGCACUGUGGAAAUAUAUUUAUCAUUGAACUUUACAUAGUAUUGUUAUCUUUUAAUGGUCUUUGCUGUCAGUAUGUUAUGGUUGUUGAAUAGUUCAGAAAUAAAUGUGUGCUAUAAGCACGGUGUGCAUAUUUUGCCAAGCCAUACAAGCAAACAAAAACUAUAUAAAAUAAUAAAUAAUAUGUUUUAUGAGCGUGAAUCACAACUACUGAGAAAUUGAAUCUGAAUGUAGUAUAUUGGAGACAUUGCACUUCAUCCUUUUGGCUUUUCUAAUUAGCCCAUCAUUGGAAACACGAAGCUGACUCUUGGCUAUUUGACAAUGGGACGAUGAGUGGCACAAGGAGAGCGACAUGAGACUUAGAGUGAGGUCUUUAACAUUGACUUCCUGUCUGCUCUGGGUUGAAGACUUUCCCUCUUUGGUGCUUACUGCUUAGUCAUGGCAGCAUCAACCUUGGGUUAUAAGGUUGUGAGGAAUUAGCAUGGAGUCUAUGCUUUGGAAUCAGAGAGACCUGUUUUCAAAUCCUGCUGCUGCCAAUUACCAGCCAUGUGACUGUGGACAUGUCUCUUCGCUUCUGCAUACUUCAGUUUCUAAUCUGUAAAAUGGGGUCAAAAUACCUGCAUUAUAGGGUUCCUAAGAAAUUAUAUGAGAUGCUUAGUACAGUGCCUGGCACAUAGUAAGCGCUCAAUAAAUUGCUGCUAUUAUUAUUAUUAAAACACAGGUAAGAAUUAUAUAACUAGAGGAUGAUAGUUCAUUCCUGUCUUGAUGAAAUGUUAAUAUUUAAUUUCUCUUAAACAAGUUAUAAAUGAUCGCUUUUAGAGAGGAAAAGGAAUAAGAAAUGAAUUCUAAUAUUUUUCUUUGUUGUUGAUGGAUACCUGAAGCAAUAAUUCCUUUGUUAUUAAAUUACUCCUUAACGUGCAGUGAUUACUCAUACUAUAUUUAUAAUGUGGUUAGCAUCACAGGACAUUUAUUUGGUGAUUAAAAGUCAUGACUUUUAACAUGAGUACAUUCCUAUUAUGUAGAAAAUAAACCAUUCACAAGGAUGGUUCUUCAUAACUGGCA